UACGUAGGGUGCAAGCGUUGUCCGGAAUUAUUGGGCGUAAAGAGCUCGUAGGCGGUGUGUCGCGUCGGCCGUGAAAACCUGCAGCUUAACUGUGGGCUUGCGGUCGAUACGGGCAUCACUGGAGUUCGGCAGGGGAGACUGGAAUUCCUGGUGUAGCGGUGAAAUGCGCAGAUAUCAGGAGGAACACCGGUGGCGAAGGCGGGGUCUCUGGGCCGAUACUGACGCUGAGGAGCGAAAGCGUGGGGAGCGAACAGG
rnacentral:rRNA from 1 species